rnacentral:rRNA from 1 species
AAGUACCUUGCACUUUUGGAGCGGCCGAUGUCUGAUUAGCUAGUUGGUGGGGUAAUGGCCUACCAAAGCUUCGAUCAGUAGCUGGUCUGAGAGGACGGCCAGCCACACUGGGACUGAGACACGGCCCAGACUCCUACGGGAGGCAGCAGUGGGGAAUUUUGGACAAUGGGCGCAAGCCUGAUCCAGCCAUGCCGCGUGAGUGAAGAAGGCCUUCGGGUUGUAAAGCUCUUUCAGUCGGGAAGAAAAGGUUGCGAYUAAUAAUCGCAAUUCAUGACGGUACCGGAAGAAGAAGCACCGGCUAACUACGUGCCAGCAGCCGCGGUAAUACGUAGGGUGCGAGCGUUAAUCGGAAUUACUGGGCAUAAAGGGUGCGCAGGCGGUUUUGUAAGUCAGAUGUGAAAUCCCCGGGCUUAACCUGGGAACU